UACAGAGAUCCCAAGCGUUGUUCGGAUUCAUUGGGCGUAAAGGGCGCGUAGGCGGCGGGGCAAGUCGGGUGUGAAAUCUCAGGGCUCAACCCUGAAACUGCACUCGAUACUGCUCUGCUUGAGGACUGGAGAGGAGACUGGAAUUCACGGUGUAGCAGUGAAAUGCGUAGAUAUCAAGUGGAACACCAGUGGCGAAGGCGAGUCUCUGGACAUUUCCUGACGCUGAGGCACGAAAGCCAGGGGAGCAAACGGG
rnacentral:rRNA from 1 species